UACGGGGGGGGCGAGCGUUGUCCGAAGUUACUGGGCGUAAAGCGCGUGUAGGCGGGUUGUUAAGUCCGCUGUGAAAGCCCGGUGCUCAACGCCGGAGGGUCGGUGGAUACUGGCAGUCUUGAAGUGGCUAGGGGGAAAUGGAAUUACCGGUGUAGCGGUGAAAUGCGUAGAUAUCGGUAGGAACACCAGUGGCGAAGGCGGUUUCCUGGAGCUAACUUGACGCUGAGACGCGAAAGCUGGGGGAGCAAACAGG
rnacentral:rRNA from 1 species